rnacentral:rRNA from 1 species
AGCGAACGCUGGCGGCAGGCCUAACACAUGCAAGUCGAACGAACCUUUCGGGGUUAGUGGCGGACGGGUGAGUACCACGUGGGAACGUGCCUUUAGGUUCGGAAUAACUCAGGGAAACUUGUGCUAAUAACGAAUGUGCCCUUCGGGGGAAAGAUUUAUCGCCUUUAGAGCGGCCCGCGUCUGAUUAGCUAGUUGGUUGAGGUAAUGGCUCACCAAGGCGACGAUCAGUAGCUGGUCUGAGAGGAUGAUCAGCCACAUUGGGACUGAGACACGGCCCAAACUCCUACGGGAGGCAGCAGUGGGGAAUCUUGCGCAAUGGGCGAAAGCCUGACGCAGCCAUGCCGCGUGAAUGAUGAAGGUCUUAGGAUUGUAAAAUUCUUUCACCGGGGACGAUAAUGACGGUACCCGGAGAAGAAGCCCCGGCUAACUUCGUG